UUGUGGCGGAGGUGAUCUUGAUUAGUAUAGCAUCUGAAGAUGCUGCCGAGAGCUCCUGCGGCAUGACUGUCUGAAAAAAUGGGUCAACUUGGUCUCUGAGCAAACGAAUCCACUCCCCAUGUGCAACAAUAUUAAUUCAAUAAUUUGACCAUAAUUAUUCCUAAAUGGGUCCGAACAUCACUCAGCCUCUUCUUUCCGACGAGAACUGGUCGAUCAUCCUGGGUUGACAUCAAUCGAUCGGCCAAUGUGUGGGUCAGGAUCAGAUCGGAUUGGCUGACCUAAUUGAAGUCCAGGCUUACCCGUUGAGAAAUGGGGAUCUAAUUGGGUCAACAACUGAUGUGGGUCCCUGGACUGUAGCUAACUGAUGUUAGUCCACAACUGAACAAGUGGGUUGACUUUUCUUUGCAUGCAAGUCAUCUUGGAGAAUGUAUCGGGUCCAUCGUCCAAUACAUAUGUCUCAAGGUCGAUGAACAGCAACCUUCAAUAAGUGACUUAGUCUUCACAGAAAGACUUGAUGGAAUGACAGUCCCCACGUGCCAAAAAUUAAAAGACAAUAUCUUAUAAUUUGGGCCUGACCCACCAGCCUAGCUAACCCACAUGAAUAUCUAGAGAGAGAGAGAGAGAGAGAGUAAGAAGCCUAGCGCGGACACCAAAAUGCACUCUAUAUAGGUAACCUUGGGGAAAUUGAAUCGUCGUCGUCUGUCCCACGUGGUAGGGGCACGUGGCAUGACUACGACGUGGUAACGACCAUCCGCACUAGAGGCAGAGAGACCGAUAAAGUCGAGUCGAUGGGUAUAUAAACAAUAAAAUUCAUAAUGGGAGUUAUAUGUAUAGAAAAAGUAUCAACGAGGGUAGGCAUGAAAAAAUACAUACCGAUAUAAGCCGCCUGGUGAGAAUCCGCCCCGGGCGGGGGGGACUGAGCCGGUGGGUCGUGGAUAUCUCUCGCCCUCGUCGUCCUCCACCUUCUGGCUGUUGACUUGGAGGAGCAGAUCAGGGGAGAGUUCCAGAGGCGGAGAGGGAAGGGAGGAGAGAGGAGGGGGAGUAAUG
rnacentral:lncRNA from 1 species